UUAACAACUGUUCUCCGAGCUCUCGCGACCUAAGGCGGAAGCUAUGGUCCCUGAGCCGAUAGGGUAUGAGGGGAAACGCUCAUGCCUCCCGUUUGGAAAGGAGGGCUGCUUAUGCGGGU
rnacentral:ncRNA from 2 species